GAGAAGUCACCCUUUGUUCUUGCGAUUUUGAUCUGAUGCAAACAAAGAGAGAAAAAGUGGUACAUACCUCUUUUUUUUAUAUAUUUUUUAUUUAAUUACUAUUUAGUUUGCUUUAACUAUUUUUUUAAUUUGAUUUAAAUGUGGACUAAGUCCAUCCAUGAUUCUCGUUCAUUUUUUAUUUCACUUUAAUUUUUUUUCAUAAUUUGAUUUAAAUGUGACUAAGCAAUUCCAUAUUUUCAUAUCUCUUUUCUUUUUUAUGUCCAAAAUUGUUUCUUUUUUUAUUUAUUUAUUUUAUAUUUUUAGAACAAUGAAUUAUAUUUAUUAAUGAUAUGUUCUUAAAAUAAUUUUUUUAAAUCAGAUGAAAAGGAUUAGUUGGAUGUAUAUCCCUCUUUUCCCCGAGUAUUUGGAUACAAGUCGUAGAGCUUGCCUUUCGAGUGCUUGUCACCCUCUCAAAAUUUAAUCAAACUUUUCACAUUUAAAAC
rnacentral:lncRNA from 1 species